AACCUAGCACACCUGCGGUGUGUACCUGCGGAAGGAUCAUUACACAUAUUACGGGGGGUCGGUCACCCAGAGCGUCGCCUCUUAGCACCUCUGGGCCCUGCCCUGUCUGAAUAUUCUGCCCAUGUCUUUUGCGCACUCUUCGUUUCCUCGGUGGGCUUGCCUACCGAUAGGACACUAUAAAACCUUUUUGUAAUUGCAAUCAGCGUCAGAAAAACUUUUAAUAGUUACAACUUUCAACAA
rnacentral:misc_RNA from 1 species